rnacentral:rRNA from 1 species
GAUGAACGCUAGCGGCAGGCCUAACACAUGCAAGUCGAGGGGUAGAAGGAGCUUGCUCCUUUGAGACCGGCGCACGGGUGCGUAACGCGUAUGCAAGCUACCUUGUACAGGGGAAUAGCCCAGAGAAAUUUGGAUUAAUGCCCCAUAGUAUAUAACCUUCGCAUGUUGGUUAUAUUAAAGUUCCAACGGUACAAGAUGAGCAUGCGUCCCCUUAGUUAGUUGGUAAGGUAACGGCUUACCAAGACGAUGAUGAGUAGGGGUCCUGAGAGGCAGAUCCCCCACACCUGUACCGCGAUCCGGACUCCUCCGCGACGGAAGGGAGCAGAGUGUACUACUGGGCGAUAGUCGCAAGCGUGACCACGCCACGCCAGUUACAGGAAUACUCGCCUAUUGAUUGUAUACUGCUUUUAUACAAGAAAAAUCUCUCUCACGUGUCGCAUCUUGACGGUACUGUAUGAAUAAGGCUCGGCUAACUCCGUG